AAUGUCCACUGGAAGUGCCUUAUUAUAGGCUGAGACUGAAGUAGUGACUUCGGGAUUCCUUGAACCUGAUCCAGUUCAUACUGGCGUAGGAAAGUGGCGUAUAUAAGCU
rnacentral:ncRNA from 2 species